AUCCGUUCCAGACCUCCAAGGAAAAUUAGCCUUUCUCUGACACACUCCUCAAAAUCCUUCCAGACUUGACCCACUAUUCACCACGGCAGCACAUCACCUCCAGAGUGAAGAAAAGUUUCAAACAUCAGGAAAAAAAAACAGCGCAUUGCAAAACAUAUUAGACUGAACCUAUCGAUGACAAAAUGCAACUGUGAAAUGUUGAGACUGUUCAUCAAAGCUGGACAUAAGCAGGAUCCAUUCCAUUUUCAAAGAGAAAAUCAU
rnacentral:lncRNA from 1 species